GCGGGCAUAGUUUAUCGGUAGAACGCGUGCUUGCCAAGCACGAGGGGGGAGUUCAAUUCUCCCUGCCCGCA
rfam:Parcubacteria bacterium GW2011_GWB1_43_6 TV98_C0043, whole genome shotgun sequence.